GAGGGCCAAAGGCCCAGAGGAGGGCAUGACCAGACCAUGGAACCUUCCUGUUCUCUGCUGCUCAGCUGGAUAGUUGUUUCACCUUCCACAGGGACAUCGGUAAAAAGAUAAGUAAUCAAACUAAAACCAGCUUGGUUGCUUUUUUGGCAAUCAGCUUCUGUCAGUGGCCUUGGUGAUGGGGUAGGCAUAUCACAGCAGUCAUAACACUUGCAGUUCCCUGUGUCAGUCAGUCACUGGCGACAUGGUGGGCAUAGGAAGAUCAUAAGAACUUGUCUGCCAGCUGAGGCCACAUGUGAGCAGAAUAUUGUGUAGGGGCUGAGGUAAGUGGACAGAACAAAAGGCAUGGAAGGAAGGGCAUGUCCCAGGGCAGGAAGGUGAGGGUGUCUGUGAUGCUGCAAACUGUGUGUCCUCCACCUUUGUCUUUGAGGCCAAGAGGCCCAGAGGUGGAUAUAACCAGACCAUUGAACGUUCCUGUCCUCUCCUGCUCAUCUGAAGAGAUGUUCUGCCUUCUACAAGCACACUGAUACAAAGAUAAGUAAUCAAAAUAACAUGCGCCGGCUGUAAUUUGGUUGUCAACUUCUGGCAACUUUCUUGGUGAUGCCGUGGGCAUGCCAAAGCAGGCAUAAGCCUGGCAGUACCAUGUGUCACAUAGGCAUUGGCAACAUGGCAUGCAUUGGGAGAUCAUAGAAGGAGCUGCACAUCUCUGCCAGACCAAGCAAGAGGAGAGAAGGAUGGUUAGCAUAUGCAGUGGUGAGAGGACAGGACAGCGGACAUAGAAGGGAAGGUUUGCGCCUGGGCAAUGAGGCAGGAGUGGUUGUGAUGCAACAGACUGUGUGUCCCCCUCCUUUGUCUUGGAGGGACAGAGGCCCAGAGGAGAGCAUGACCAGACCGUGGAACCCUUCAGUCUUCUGCUGCUCCACCUUUCACAGGGACAUCAAUACAAUGAUAAGUAAUCAAACUAACACCAGCUUGGCUGUACUUUUGGCGAUCAGCUUCUGUCUGCGGCCUUGGUGAUGGGGUGUGCAUGUCACAGCAGGCACAACAUUGGCAGUUCCCUGUGUCACACAAGCACUGGCAACAUGGCAUUGGAAGACCAUAGAAAAAGCUGCAUCCCUCUGCCAGCCCAGGACAGAGGAGAGCAGGAUGGUUAGCAGAGGCACAGGGCCAGAGGCCAUGGAACCUUCCUGUCCACUUCUUCUCCCUGGAACAGUGAUACAAGCAUAAAGGUCCACAGGAGAACUUCCCCAGACUGUGGAACCCUCCUGUCCUCUGCUGCUCAGCUGUAGAGUUGUUCCAUUUUCUACAAGGACAUCAGUACAAAGGUUUCUACAUUCAUCUGUGAAUUAUUGGAACUAAUGAAAAGGAUGCACAGCAUCAGACUGUAUUGCUGCUUGUCCUUGGAGUUUGCUGAA
rnacentral:lncRNA from 1 species